AAGAACCUAACUUGUAAAUAUCUCAUGCUAAAACUGAAAUCACUUUAACACCCUUUCAUUGCCCCAUAUCUGAAGCGAAAGUUAUCCUCGGGUAAACCCUGGCCCUACCGUAUAAGUAAUCCAACUGGGAGCAUUCCAGACAUGAGAUUAGACCAGACUGACACAUAAUAUGAACCUUAAUAAAGCAUGUUAAUCGACUCCUUCAUACAAGUAAAAUAUCCGAAUAUGCAGAAGAAAGAUGAGCUCAUAUAUAUUUACUA
rnacentral:misc_RNA from 1 species